UAGGGAAUCUUCGGCAAUGGACGAAAGUCUGACCGAGCAACGCCGCGUGAGUGAAGAAGGUUUUCGGAUCGUAAAACUCUGUUGUUAGAGAAGAACAAGGACGUUAGUAACUGAACGUCCCCUGACGGUAUCUAACCAGAAAGCCACGGCUAACUACGUGCCAGCAGCCGCGGUAAUACGUAGGUGGCAAGCGUUGUCCGGAUUUAUUGGGCGUAAAGCGAGCGCAGGCGGUUUCUUAAGUCUGAUGUGAAAGCCCCCGGCUCAACCGGGGAGGGUCAUUGGAAACUGGGAGACUUGAGUGCAGAAGAGGAGAGUGGAAUUCCAUGUGUAGCGGUGAAAUGCGUAGAUAUAUGGAGGAACACCAGUGGCGAAGGCGGCUCUCUGUUCUGUAACUGACGCUGAGGCUCGAAAGCGUGGGGAGCAAACAGG
rnacentral:rRNA from 1 species